rnacentral:rRNA from 1 species
UACGGAGGGUGCAAGCGUUGUCCGGAAUCACUGGGCGUAAAGGGCGCGUAGGCGGCCCGGUAAGUAGGGGGUGAAAUCCUGCGGCUUAACCGCAGGGCUGCCUUCUAAACUGUCGGGCUCGAGCACGGUAGAGGCAGAUGGAAUUCCUGGUGUAGCGGUGAAAUGCGCAGAUAUCAGGAGGAACACCAAUGGCGAAGGCAGCUCACUGGGACGAUACUGACGCUGAGACGCGAAAGCGUGGGGAGCAAACAGG